AUCCUGGCUUAGGACGAACGCUGGCGGCGUGCCUAAUACAUGCAAGUCGAACGGUCUUUCUAUGGAAGCUUGCUUCCACUGAGAAGAUAGUGGCGAACGGGUGAGUAACACGUGGGUAACCUGCCCAUAAGAGGGGGGAUAACAUCCGGAAACGGGUGCUAAUACCGCAUAGUUUUCUUGAUCGCAUGAUCGGGAAAGGAAAGACGGCCUUUGUGCUGUCGCUUAUGGAUGGACCCGCGGCGUAUUAGUUAGUUGGUGAGGUAACGGCUCACCAAGACGAUGAUACGUAGCCGACCUGAGAGGGUGAUCGGCCACAUUGGGACUGAGACACGGCCCAAACUCCUACGGGAGGCAGCAGUAGGGAAUCUUCCGCAAUGGACGAAAGUCUGACGGAGCAACGCCGCGUGAGUGAAAGAAGGUUUUCGGAUCGUAAAACUCUGUUGUCAGAGAAGAACAAGUUGGAGAGUAACUGCUCCAGCCUUGACGGUAUCUGACCAGAAAGCCACGGCUAACUACGUGCCAGCCGCCGC
rnacentral:rRNA from 1 species